rnacentral:misc_RNA from 1 species
GAUGAAGAACGCAGCGAAAUGCGAUAAGUAAUGUGAAUUGCAGAAUUCAGUGAAUCAUCGAAUCUUUGAACGCACAUUGCGCCCGCCAGUAUUCUGGCGGGCAUGCCUGUCCGAGCGUCAUUUCAACCCUCGAACCCCUCCGGGGGGUCGGCGUUGGGGAUCGGCCCUGCCUCUUGGCGGUGGCCGUCUCCGAAAUACAGUGGCGGUGUCGCCGCAGCCUCUCCUGCGCAGUAGUUUGCACACUCGCAUCGGGAGCGCGGCGCGUCCACAGCCGUUAAACACCCAACUUCUGAAAUGUUGACCUCGGAUCAGGUAGGAAUACCCGCUGAACUUAAGCAUAUCAAUAAGCGGAGGA